rnacentral:rRNA from 1 species
CCUACGGGAGGCAGCAGUGAGGAAUAUUGGUCAAUGGGCGCGAGCCUGAACCAGCCAAGUAGCGUGAAGGAUGACUGCCCUACGGGUUGUAAACCUCUUUUAUGCGGGGAUAAAGGUGUCCACGUGUGGAUGUUUGCAUGUACCGCAUGAAUAAGGACCGGCUAAUUCCGUGCCAGCAGCCGCGGUAAUACGGAAGGUCCGGGCGUUAUCCGGAUUUAUUGGGUUUAAAGGGAGCGUAGUCGGGUUUUUAAGCGUGCUGUGAAAUUUUGUGGCUCAACCAUGGGAUUGCGGUGCGAACUGGAGACCUUGAGUACGCGGAAGGCAGGCGGAAUUCGUGGUGUAGCGGUGAAAUGCUUAGAUAUCACGAAGAACCCCGAUUGCGAAGGCAGCCUGCUGCAGCGUUACUGACGCUGAAGCUCGAAAGCGCGGGUAUCGAACAGGAUUAGAUACCCGGGUAGUC